rnacentral:rRNA from 1 species
UUCUUCGGAUGAUUUCCUUUGUGACUGAGCGGCGGACGGGUGAGUAACGCGCGGGGUAACCUGCCUCAUACAGGGGGAUAACAGUUGGAAACGACUGCUAAUACCGCAUAAGCGCACGGGAUCGCAUGAUCCAGUGUGAAAAACUCCGGUGGUACAGGAUGGACCCGCGUCUGAUUAGCUGGUUGGUGAGGUAACGGCCCACCAAGGCAACGAUCAGUAGCCGGACUGAGAGGUUGACCGGCCACAUUGGGACUGAGAUACGGCCCAGACUCC